rnacentral:snRNA from 8 species
AUCGCUUCUCGGCCUUUUGGCUCAGAUCAAGUGUAGUAUCUGUUCUUAUCAGUUUAAUAUCUGAUACGUCCCCCAUCAGGGGACUACAUAUUAAAUGGAUUUUUCGAACAGGGAGUCGGAAAUGGGGCUUGCUCCGUCCACUCCACGCAUCGACCCGGUAUUGCAGUACCUCCGGGAACGGUGCAACACUU